AUCUCUCAUCUUCCAGAGAGUUCCGAAAUGCUCUGACUUCUCUCUACUUUCUCUCUCUAGAUUUUCUAUGAUUUCUCGGUCUAAUAUGAAUAUUUACAUGGUAUCAGAGCUUCGACGACGAUCCGACUAUGUUUCUAUGUGCUUCGUGAUCUUGGAUGAAGUCUGUUUCGAGGUUUUUGGGGGUGAUUUCUGAGACCUCACGGUCGAUGAAG
rnacentral:lncRNA from 1 species